rnacentral:other from 2 species
GUCUCACUACAGCGUUGGUGACUGCCAAUAACGUUUUAUGAUCUAUGCUGUUUCUAUAAGGGAAUCACGAAGUCUUGGUGGCAGUAGACCGAGCUUGUACUCGGAAACUUAAAGCCAGGAGAGCGAUACCCACCUGGAGUAUUCCAGGUCAGAAACUGAGGUAAGACGGCGUUGCGGUGAGCUU